rnacentral:rRNA from 1 species
AGAGUUUGAUCCUGGCUCAGGACGAACGCUGGCGGCGCGCCUCAUACAUGCAAGUCGAGCGAGAACCAGGGCUUGCCCUGGGGAGAGCGGCGAACGGGUGCGUAUCACGUGAGCAACCUGCCCCGAAGACCGGGAUAACUCGAGGAAACUCGGGCUAAUACCGGAUGCCCUCGGUGGACCGCAUGGUCCGGCGAGGAAAUGGAUUCCGCUUCGGGAUGGGCUCGCGGCCUAUCAGCUUGUUGGUGGGGUAACGGCCUACCAAGGCGACGACGGGUAGCUGGUCUGAGAGGACGAUCAGCCACACUGGGACUGAGACACGGCCCAGACUCCUACGGGAGGCAGCAGUAGGGAAUCUUGCGCAAUGGGCGAAAGCCUGACGCAGCGACGCCGCGUGCGGGAUGAAGGCCUUCGGGUCGUAAACCGCUUUCAGCAGGGACGAAAUUGACGGUACCUGCAGAAGAAGGCCCGGCCAACUACGUGCCAGCCGCCGCGGUAAUAC